ACUAAGAAAAAUUAUCGUUGCUGAAUCUCCGCAGUGAGUCUGCGCCUGUGUGUGGUGCUGUCACGGUUGCCUAGAGACAGACAACACACAACGACGGAACUCACAAAACCUGCAUCCUUUAAGAAUGUCCGCUGCACACCAUACUCCACCACGCCCUCGGAAGUGAAUGUGGAAGAGUCAGUGGAGAUGAUUACGAUGCAAAGUGUAAACUGGAGCAUGGUGGGCUGUGAGAGCGCAACACUGCAGACACUCACUCAAUAAACUCCUGCGAGCGAUGCAGUGACGUCAUUAUAUUAUAAUUGAUUUCCUAUCAGGUUAUGUUUUUGCCAGAAGAUGUCAGUGCACGAGUGUAGACUAGUUUAGUAGACUAGUGUAGUUUAGUUGAUAGUUUAGGAUGUUGCGUUUUUAAAGUUUUAAAAGUUGUUAAUAUGCAGUAGCAUUAGCCGUAAAUAAAAUUCCCUCAACGAGUGUUAAGGGAAGGAGUAAUGUUUUGCACUUUUCACUGUUUCUUUUUUCCUAUUCAAUAAACAGAUACGUUUGUAUUGUUGUUGUUUUUUUCUGUUGCAUCCUCUUCUAGGUAAACGUGUUAGAAGAGAGUCUAUAUAGUUAUGCACUUAAAAAGUUUAUUUUGAUGUGCAAGCAUUCCUUUUUCACAUUCCUUCACAUCUGUGUGAUCUUUUUAUUUUUUAUUUUAUUUUAAAAUGGUAAUAAAGAUCUCCAAGCUUUAAGUAGUACUAACUGUCUUCUUGAUCAGCCCUUUAAUUAAAACACCGGCACAAAAUAAAACAAACCGCUGCUGCGGACUCCACGCCCACAUGAGUCGGACCAAUCACGCUGUUUGGCGGUGUAGUACGUCACAAAGAUGCGACGGAACAGGUAAAACACAUUUCAAACGCUUCUGGCAUGUGACGUCACACGCCGCAAAAGUUUGAAAGCAACAAGUGUAUGAAGUUAUUCUGCAAAGACAGCUCGACCUGGUCCAGAUUAAUGGCUUAAAGAGAAAGAUGCGUUGAGGUUCCUGCACACGGAGACCAGGUUGAAAUUGUCCAGCAUUGAAGUUCACUCCUGAGACUAAAAGACGAGAUUGAUCAUCCUGAAGAUCUUCAACCAACUAUAUAUCAAUAUUCCAGGGAGACAGCUAGUGAUAAACAGGUGUUUCUGCUCAUCCACGUAAGAUCACUGUUGUGAGUCAAACAUUUGCCCACUCUGACAAGCUCUGAUUGUCUCUUCAUUUUCGGGUGCCUUCAGGUGACUCUGGGACUGCAUUGUUUACCCCCAGCUUCUGAGAGAGGAUCCGUCCAGCCACCCAGUGAGGUUCACUCGACCUCCGCUUAUUGGUUGGCUCCCGUUUCAGGCUGCAUCUGUGCAUAAUGCAAGAUGGAUCGGGUUCAAUUGCUAAUAAAAGAGGAUGCUACGUUUCAUUUGAACUGCAGUGAUGCAUGAUCUGAGCUCAGCAGUGUAGCAUUAAAAAAUGUCUGACAACAAUUUGGACGAUCCCCAGACAAACGGACAAAGGCCCUGACAUCAGCUGUAAAUA